AUUCCAAUAGACUUGAAUCUCAGCAACCAAACCAAUUUGCUUACUACCAACUUAUCAGUUUGUGGAUCUUUCAAAUCCAAUACUAAAUUCACAAAAUUUUCAAAAUGGGUAAUGAACCAUUUCAACGUUCUUCUGCAUAUAGUAGAGCUAGAAGACUCAUUAGCCCCAAAGCUUCAAUCUUUUUCAGAAAUCAAGAAUGGGGUUUUGCACCCUUUAUCUUAAUGUGGAUGGACAAAAAAAAAUUCAAACAAAUGUAAGCAUAAAAAUGUAAAAAUGGGUAAUUGAGGCUAUUCUUGAAAAGCCAAAG
rnacentral:misc_RNA from 1 species